rnacentral:lncRNA from 10 species
GUGCUCAAAGGGUAGAACGGCUCUUUUGGAAUUCUCAGAUAUAUUUGGCCAGGUUUACCUAGAGGAGAACACGUUGUUUUUAAUGAAAGGGAUUUAAAGUCACAGUGCACCUUAAGGUGAUGACUUUCUGAAUGGAUGCUCUUUCAUGAGACCCAAGUUGCGAGGUAUAAUUUACAUGCAGUGAUAUGUACAAAUCUUCAGUGAAUGGGUUGAUGAAUGUUUGCCUAUGUAUACCUACAUGUAAUCACUACUCAGAUCAAAAUAGACAACCUGUUCACGACACUGAAAAGUUUUCUAGAGCCCCUUUUCAGUCAAGACCCAUUCCUCCAGAUCAUCAGUGCAACUACUCAUAUCAUCAGUUCUCCCAAUGAUCUGGUCAGACAUGGUCUGAAAUUUAUCUUGGAUCUGCUGCAGGAGUUUCUGCACCACUGAGAGAGGAGCACACUCUUCCCAGUGAUCCCUGCAGAUACGUGGUGUGGUUGGUGUCAGGCCUCUGAGCCCAAGCUAAGCCAUCAUAUCCCCUGUGACCUGCAUGUAUACAUUCAGAUGGCCUCCAGUAACUGAAGAAUCACAAAAGAAGUGAAAUUUAAAUGGCCUGUUCCUGCCUUAACUGAUGACAUUCCACCACAGAAGUUAAAAUAGCCGGUCCUUGCCUUAACUGAUGACAUCACCUUGUGAAAUUCCUUCUCCUGGCUCAUCCUGGCUCAAAAAUUCCCCCACUGAGCACCUUGUGACCCCCACCCCUGCCCGCCAGAGAACAACCCCCUUUGACUGUAAUUUUCCUUUACCUACCCAAAUCCUAUAAAACGGCCCCACCCCUAUCUCCCUUCACAGACUCUCUUUUCGGACUCAGCUGCCUGCACCCAGGUGAAAUAAACAGACUUGUUGCUCAC